AGCGAACGCUGGCGGCAGGCCUAAUACAUGCAAGUCGAAUGGCUCUUCGGAGCAGUGGCGGACAGGUGAGUAACGCGUGGGAAUGUGCCCUUAGGUACGGAACAACACAGGGAAACUUGUGCUAAUACCGUAUGUGCCCUUCGGGGGAAAGAUUUAUCGCCUUUGGCGCAGCCCGCGUUGGAUUAGGUAGUUGGUGAGGUAAAGGCUCAUCAAGCCGACGAUCCAUAGCUGGUCUGAGAGGAUGACCAGCCACACUGGGACUGAGACACGGCCGAGACUCCUACGGGAGGAAGCGGGAGGGAGUCGUGCGCAAUGGGCGAAAGCCCGACGCAGCCAUGCCGCGUGUAUGAUGAAGGUCUUAAGAUUGUAAAAUACUUUCACCGGGGAAGAUAAUGACGGUACCCGGAGAAGAAGCCCCGGCUAACUUCGUGCCAGCCGCCGCCGUAA
rnacentral:rRNA from 1 species